rnacentral:rRNA from 1 species
AGGGAAUCUUCCGCAAUGGACGAAAGUCUGACGGAGCAACGCCGCGUGAGUGAUGAAGGUUUUCGGAUCGUAAAGCUCUGUUGUUAGGGAAGAACAAGUGCCGUUCAAAUAGGGCGGCACCUUGACGGUACCUAACCAGAAAGCCACGGCUAACUACGUGCCAGCAGCCGCGGUAAUACGUAGGUGGCAAGCGUUGUCCGGAAUUAUUGGGCGUAAAGGGCUCGCAGGCGGUUUCUUAAGUCUGAUGUGAAAGCCCCCGGCUCAACCGGGGAGGGUCAUUGGAAACUGGGGAACUUGAGUGCAGAAGAGGAGAGUGGAAUUCCACGUGUAGCGGUGAAAUGCGUAGAGAUGUGGAGGAACACCAGUGGCGAAGGCGACUCUCUGGUCUGUAACUGACGCUGAGGAGCGAAAGCGUGGGGAGCGAAC